UGCACAGGAGCAGCUUAUUGU
rnacentral:piRNA from 1 species